GCGCUUGGGAGAGAGGGGGGGGGGUCUGCUGGCAUUGCUUUUGUGAGGAGCUGUGGCUUGCAAGGGCGAGCGGCUUUGCUUUUGCAAGCCUGGCGUGGUAGGGCCGGUUCGUAGCGCUACUGCUGCUGCUGCUGCUGCUUUUCCCCGGGGCAGAGGGAGCCUCGCUCUUUCCCCGCCCCCUUUCUGUGCCAGCAGCGCAAGGGUCUAGCUAGAAUAAAGUUUGCAUCGGGUUCGGGUGGCAGUGCCCUGCCAGGCUCCGGCGACUUUUGGACAGCGGGGAGGUUGUGCAUCUGGUUUCGGAAUGAAUCUCGAUAACCUUUCAAAGUGUUUAAAUGAUGUUGCAUGUUUCGAAACUGGAGAGGUGCUGCAGGAGCGAGUCCAUUCGCGCGUAAAAGUCUUUCCAGGCUUCUAGUCCUCAUGCUUUUCCGUUAGUGCGUUUAAAAUUUGGGACGAGUUCAGAAGCGGUGCUGUUUAGAAGUUUGGCUGUUGGCUCAAGAGCAGGUGGCUCCUUUUCACCAUGACAGCAGAUUGCUGCUGCUGCUGCUGUUGUUUUUAUUAUUAUAUCUCUCCCUAAAUAACGAUGACGAUGAUCCAAUUUUGCAUUGGUGCAUCUCUUUGCGCGCCCCCCAAAUGUGGGUUUGCAAAUGGCCAGGGGUGCUUAAUGGGCAGUGAAGCAGCCGGAAUCCAUCAAAAUGAUAAAAGAGUUAACCCGAGAGGGAAGGGUCACGGGCUGAGAAGAACUGUGGCGAGUGACAUUUUUAGCUGCCAUCAGCAAAACCAGUUUUGUGUGCAUGUGAGCUCACUUUUGGCAGCUUACGGGGAGGAAAGUUGCAAUUUCUGCUUAAGGGCGAGGGGGAGUAGAGGCAAUAAAAAUGCAACCGGAUGAAGCUGUUGCCCUGCCUUGUGCGCACUGGAGCUCAUACUAUAUGUUGUGCUGGUGAAAGCGGUAGUGUGAUAGAUUUUUAUUUUUAUUUUUUGCAGCAGAGCUACAUCCGAGAACGGGCUAAAAGGAGAUUUGGAGACUUUAGCUCUUUUGCUGGGUUUUAGAUAAUCUUGUGUGACAAAUGUCUCUGUUUCCCCCCGUGCCUGUGCUAUGCUUCUGAGCAUCAGGACAGAAGUGGAAAGCGUGGCCCCUGCAGUUAAGAAGUAUCCGAGAGGAAGUUUUUAAAUGAAGCUUUAAACAGGAUUAAAUGGCUUGUGUAAGUGCUGAAUGCUGCUAAAGUGCCUGGGAAGCCAUAAAAUAGCCAGCCAAAAACAAAGUAAAAAUAAUUGUUAACAAGAAAGCGAAAGCUUUGCAAGGACUUAGGUAAUGAACACAUAACAAUUGAUGAUACGAUGCAGUAAUUAUUUUCGUAUUUACACCAUUAACGAUUGUAAUUUAACGUUAAUGCCUUGGUAUUUUAUUCCUUCUCAUUUGCAGACAAAAGCACAUCUGAGACAUCAUCAGGGAGUAAUUUGAUAUUCUAAAGUCAUGAAUAGAAAACACUAAACUAUGCUCAGAAGUCUGACAACAUAAAGCGGGAAACAAAAUAACCUCAUUUGCUCUUUAUUAUCUGUCUUUUAUAAUUCUGUUUACUAUCGUUUGCAUAAAUGAAUAGCUAAAUUGUAUGCUAACCCCAUUUCUGUGGAUAAAAGAAUCCUUGAUGCACACAGAUUUGUUGGAGAACUAAUAGGCUCUUCCUUGGAAAGUCAAGCAAAAAGCCCCAGUUUUAGAUUAGGUUGAACAUUUUAUGGAAUGAAAUUCAGCCAGAAUGCAAAUUUGAUCUACCCUGCAGCAGCUAUGUGUCCAAUUUUGAUCAGCUUCUGAUUGAAAUUAAAUCAGGAACUUCACAUCCUUCUGGCCUUUAUCUGUUCACUUUGCAAAAGGAAAAUGGAGUUUUAUUGCCAAAGCUUGUAUUUAACAUCAUUAUCUACCUUUUGGAUAUUGGUCUUGAAUGGUUGCUUUAGAUAAUGGUUUUUGUGUGUGUGAGGGUGAGAGGGAUAAAAUACUACUGCUUUAAACUCCUG